rnacentral:rRNA from 1 species
UUCGCAAUGCCCGAAAGGGUGAACGAGCGACGCCGCGUGCGGGAUGAAGGUCUUCGGAUCGUAAACCGCUUUUAUUAGGAAAGAAGAUUAUGCUCGUGAAGCAUAGUUUGACGGUACCUGAUGAAUAAGCCUCGGCUAACUCCGUGCCAGCAGCCGCGGUAAUACGGAGGAGGCGAGCGUUGUUCGGAAUCAUUGGGCGUAAAGGGCUUGUAGGCGGACAGGUGUGUCUGGCGUGAAAUCUCCACUGCUUACCAGGGAGGGCGCGUUGGAAACUGCUUGUCUGGAGUAUGACAGAGGGUCGCGGAAUUCCGGGUGUAGCGGUGGAAUGCGUAGAUAUCCGGAGGAACACCGGUGGCGAAGGCGGCGGCCUGGGUCAAUACUGACGCUGAGGAGCGAAAGCUAGGGUAGCAAACAGGCUUAGAUACCCUGGUAGUCCUAGCUGUAAACGAUGGGCACUAAGUAGAGGGGUUUU